rnacentral:rRNA from 1 species
GAUGAACGCUGGCGGCGUGCCUAAUACAUGCAAGUCGAGCGAACAGACGAGAAGCUUGCUUCUCUGAUGUUAGCGGCGGACGGGUGAGUAACACGUGGAUAACCUACCUAUAAGACUGGGAUAACUUCGGGAAACCGGAGCUAAUACCGGAUAAUAUUUUGAACCGCAUGGUUCAAAAGUGAAAGACGGUCUUGCUGUCACUUAUAGAUGGAUCCGCGCUGCAUUAGCUAGUUGGUAAGGUAACGGCUUACCAAGGCAACGAUGCGUAGCCGACCUGAGAGGGUGAUCGGCCACACUGGAACUGAGACACGGUCCAGACUCCUACGGGAGGCAGCAGUAGGGAAUCUUCCGCAAUGGGCGAAAGCCUGACGGAGCAACGCCGCGUGAGUGAUGAAGGUCUUCGGAUCGUAAAACUCUGUUAUUAGGGAAGAACAUAUGUGUAAGUAACUGUGCACAUCUUGACGGUACCUAAUCAGAAAGCCACGGCUAACUACGUG